GCCACAUUCUCAGCUCGGCUUCUCCAUCUCCCUCUGACUUCAAAGGAAUUGCUGCAUGAAGAGGGAAGGCACAAUAGAAUCAGGCUGAUUAUCCCCUCUGUUUGGAAAUGGAUUUCCUCCUGAAGGACAUUGUGUGAAAUCCAUCGCUAUUCAGGGCGUCACUGCUUGCAGAAGUCCCACUAAUGCAGGGAAGAAAGUCGGGUCGCAUCUCCAUCACUCAGCCUGAGAAAAUUUCAUCCACUGAGCUGAUUCAUGCUACUUCUUUGGAUCUGCUACUGGCAGCACAAUAAGGGAUGAAUGAAAUAAGCACUCAGCAGCUGAAUGCCCUUAAAGACCACUUGGGAACUUUAUUUGGUGCCAAAUAAAGUGACCUGCCAGUGUCAGCUGCGGGAAGCACAUUGUACUGGGCUCGGCAGUCUGUCCCAGUUGCCUAUUCAUUUCUGAGGAAAUUUUCAGAAUCUGUUGAAGAAGCUCACCCAGACAGACAGAAGAGUGAGGUGGGAUUAACCGAAUGCAUGCAGGCUUUAAAGCCAGUGGAUUCCUUUUGAGGUUCUCCUUCAGGAAGAUCCGUAUUUGGUUGGAACAGAGGGAAACUUUGUCCCAGGAGAACUAUACCUGAAGUUUCCUUUUCUGUGGGGUUUUUGGGGCAAGUGGCCAGACCUGAUUUGUUGGAUCCCCAGAGUCAGGCCUCAGGCCUAGGAUUCUG